rnacentral:rRNA from 1 species
UCCCUUAGAUGUUCUGGGCUGCACGCGCGCUACACUGACGCACGCAACAGGUGCCUGCUCCGAGAGGACUGGGUAAUCAUUUGAGUGUGCGUCGUGAUGGGGAUAGAAUAUUGUAAUUAUUACUCUUCAACGAGGAAUUCCUAGUAAGCGCCAGUCAGCAGCUUGCGCUGAUUACGUCCCUGCCCUUUGUACACACCGCCCGUCGCUCCUACCGAUGGGUGAUCCGGUGAAUGAUUCGGACUUCAGCGGCUCCCCUGGGGUGCGCCGGAGAAAGUUUUGUGAACCUUAUCACUUGGAGGAAGGAGAAGUCGUAACA